UACGUAGGGGGCUAGCGUUGUCCGGAAUCAUUGGGCGUAAAGAGCGUGUAGGCGGCCCGGUAAGUCCGCUGUAAAAGUCAAAGGCUCAACCUUUGAAUGUCAGUGGAUACUGCCGGGCUAGAGUCCGGAAGAGGCGAGUGGAACUCCUGGUGUAACGGUGGAAUGCGCAGAUAUCAGGAAGAACACCAACGGCGAAGGCAGCUCGCUAGGACGGUACUGACGCUGAGACGCGAAAGCGUGGGGAGCGAACAGG
rnacentral:rRNA from 1 species